rnacentral:lncRNA from 1 species
UAAUGAAAAAACAUUUAGCUCACAAUUGUAUCCUAACUGACAUACCAGGUAAUUUUUGUUACAGAGGAGGACCAGUGUAAUAUGGAGUCUUGGAGUCUUGCCCAAGGACUCUUAUUGGUGUAGUAGAAUUCAGUCACCCAGACCAGGAACUAAACCCUAGUCUCUCACAUCAUGUGGCUGCUCACUGGUAGGUAGUGGUGUUAUCCACUGCACCACACUAUUCACCAAGAACUGCUUUGUACCUUGUUUAAAUAAUUUUGAAUGAAUAGGCCAGUAGAAAUGCUCUAAAAUACUCUGAAUAAACAUCCUUUUUUUACAAUAACUUCCAAAAAUAGUUAAGCACAAUAUGCCAUUUUCUGUAAAGUCACCAAUUUUGGAGAUGUUUUUUGUUUUUUUUUAUUGGACAGCGACCAAUGAAAUGCACUGUGAGAUCUGAAGUCAAGUUUCUUGUGGGUAUGUUUGCAUACUUGGUAAAGAAAUACAUUUUUACAGAAAUAUUAAUGUAAUGUAAUGUAAUGUUUAUUAUGCAAAACAUGGAUGCUAUGGUUUAAUUAAUAUCUGUUCUAUAAAAUAAAUGAUAAUUGUCCUCCAUGUUUUUUUUUUUAGAUUUGCAGCCAGAGAUUAUGCAGUAGAGACCAGAAGAGGAGGAGCCAGACCCACCUUCUUAUUUGGAAGACCUGCCCCUCUCUCCCAGACCAGGCGUCUCAGACUUCCUUUAUUGAGUUUUCAAGCACAGUAAAAAGCAGAGUGGGUUUCUUCACUAACAACUCAGUUUGUCAGGUCAAAGUUGUUGCAAUACAUGCAGCUCACAGCAAACAGCACAAAGGAACAUGGGGGAAAAAAACAUUUUCGUCAGCAUCUGCGGCAACAUCUCAGGCCUUCUCCGGUCAGCUAAUAAUGGUCACUCAAUCAGGUCACAAGACACAGACAUGUUCUUCACCACAGAUCUUC